rnacentral:rRNA from 1 species
UAGUCACGCUGUAAACGAUGUCGAUUUGGAGUUUGGGGGCAUGACCCUUGGGCUCCGGAGCUAACGCGUUAAAUCGACCGCUGGGGAGUACGGCCGCAAGGUUAAAACUCAAAUGAAUUGACGGGGGCCCGCACAAGCGGUGGAGCAUGUGGUUUAAUUCGAUGCAACGCGAAGAACCUUACCUGGUCUUGACAUCCAUAGAAUCUUUCAGAGAUGAGAGAGUGCCUUCGGGAGCUAUGAGACAGGUGCUGCAUGGCUGUCGUCAGCUCGUGUUGUGAAAUGUUGGGUUAAGUCCCGCAACGAGCGCAACCCCUAUCCUUUGUUGCCAGCACGUAAUGGUGGGAACUCAAAGGAGACUGCCGUUGAUAAAGCGGAGGAAGGUGGGGACGACGUCAAGUCAUCAUGGCCCUUACGACCAGGGCUACACACGUGCUACAAUGGCGUAUACAAAGGGAUGCGAAGGUGCGAACUGGAGCGGACCUCACAAAGUACGUCUAAGUCCGGAUUGGAGUCUGCAACUCGACUCCAUGAAGUCGGAAUCGCUAGUAAUCGUGAAUCAGAAUGUCACGGUGAAUACGUUCCCGGGCCUUGUACACACCGCCCGUCACACCAUGGGAGUGGGUUGCACCAGAAGUAGAUAGCUUAACCUUCGGGAGGGCGUUUACCACGGUGUGGUUCAUGACUGGGGUGAAGUCGUAACAAGGUAACCA